rnacentral:rRNA from 1 species
GUGCCAGCAGCCGCGGUACGACGGAGGAGGCAAGCGUUGUCCGGAAUCAUUGGGCGUAAAGAGCGCGUAGGCGGUUUUUCAAGUCGUAUGUGAAAACUUCAGGCUUAACCUGAUGAUUGCAUAUGAAACUGGAUAACUUGAGUACAGCAGAGGAAAGUGGAAUUCCUGGUGUAGCGGUGAAAUGUGCAGAUAUCAGGAAGAACACCAGUAGCGAAGGCGGCUUUCUGGGCUGUUACUGACGCUGAGGCGCGAAAGCUAGGGGAGCGAACAGGAUUAGAUACCCUGGUAGUCCUAGCCGUAAACGAUGGACACUAGGCGUGGGAAGUUAUCGACGCUUUCUGUGCCGAAGCUAACGCAUUAAGUGUCCCGCCUGGGGAGUACGGCCGCAAGGCUAAAACUCAAAUGAAUUGACGGGG